GACGAACGCUGGCGGCGUGCCUAAUACAUGCAAGUAGAACGCUGUUGCGCACGGGUGAGUACCGCGGAGGUAACUGCCUUAGAGUGGCGGAUAACGAUUGGAAACGAUAGCUAAUACCGCAUACUGUGAGAUGGACCUGCGUUGUAUUAGCUAGUUGGUGAGGUAAAGGCUCACCAAGGCGACGAUACAGAGCCUGCCUGAGAGGGUGGUCGGCCCCACUGGGACUUGGACACGGCCCAGACUCCUUCGGGAGGCAGCAGGUGGGGAUCUUCGGCAAUUGACGGAAGUCUGAACGGGGAACGCCGGGUGGUUGAAGAAGGGUUUCGGCUCGUAAAUCUCUGUUGUUUAAGAAACGGUAGCUAACCAGAAAGGCACGGCUAACUACGUGCCAGCAGCCGCGGUAAUUC
rnacentral:rRNA from 1 species